UUUCUUUUUUUUCAGGGACGCUAGAUUUCAUAUUCUGAUCACUAGCUAUCAACUGCUGGUGUCUGAUGAGAAGUAUUUUCGACGCGUGAAAUGACAAUACAUGGUAUUAUAUGAAGCACAGGCAAUCAAGAGUUCAAGCAUUAUAAGGUGGAAGACACUGCUUAGUUUCAACUGUCGUAACCGCUUGCUUCUGACUGGUACACCGAUCCAGAAUAACAUGGCAGAACUAUGGGCCCUUCUGCAUUUCAUCAUGCCAACCUUAUUUGACAGCCAUGAACAGUUUAAUGAAUGGUUUUCUAAGGGAAUUGAGAAUAAU